rnacentral:rRNA from 1 species
CCUACGGGAGGCAGCAGUGAGGAAUAUUGGUCAAUGGACGAGAGUCUGAACCAGCCAAGUAGCGUGAAGGAUGACUGCCCUAUGGGUUGUAAACUUCUUUUAUAUGGGAAUAAAACGUUCCACGUGUGGGAUUUUGUAUGUACUAUAUGAAUAAGGAUCGGCUAACUCCGUGCCAGCAGCCGCGGUAAUACGGAGGAUCCGAGCGUUAUCCGGAUUUAUUGGGUUUAAAGGGAGCGUAGGUGGAUUGUUAAGUCAGUUGUGAAAGUUUGCGGCUCAACCGUAAAAUUGCAGUUGAAAAUGGCAGUCUUGAGUACAGUAGAGGUAGGCGGAAUUCGUGGUGUAGCGGUGAAAUGCUUAGAUAUCACGAAGAACUCCGAUUGCGAAGGCAGUUCACUAGACUGCAACUGACACUGAGGCUCGAAAGUGUGGGUAUCAAACAGGAUUAGAUACCCGUGUAGUC